rnacentral:rRNA from 1 species
UACGGAGGGAGCUAGCGUUGUUCGGAAUUACUGGGCGUAAAGAGUGCGUAGGCGGUUAAUUAAGUUGGGAGUGAAAUCCCAGGGCUCAACCCUGGAAUUGCUUUCAAAACUGGUUAACUAGAGGACGAUAGAGGAUGGUGGAAUUCCUAGUGUAGAGGUGAAAUUCUUAGAUAUUAGGAGGAACAUCAGAGGCGAAGGCGACCAUCUGGUUCGUUACUGACGCUGAUGCACGAAAGCGUGGGGAGCAAACAGGAUUAGAUACCCUGGUAGUCCACGCCGUAAACGAUGAGUGCUUGAUAUCGGGACUAGUUUCCGGUGUCGGAGCUAACGCGUUAAGCACUCCGCCUGGGGAGUAAGGUCGCAAGAUUA